ACAGCAGCCGCCGCGGGAAUACGGAGGGAGCUAGCGUUGUUCGGAAUUACUGGGCGUAAAGCGCACGUAGGCGGCUUUGUAAGUCAGAGGUGAAAGCCUGGAGCUCAACUCCAGAACUGCCUUUGAGACUGCAUCGCUUGAAUCCAGGAGAGGUGAGUGGAAUUCCGAGUGUAGAGGUGAAAUUCGUAGAUAUUCGGAAGAACACCAGUGGCGAAGGCGGCUCACUGGACUGGUAUUGACGCUGAGGUGCGAAAGCGUGGGGAGCAAACAGGAUUAGAUACCCCGGUAGUCCCUGUCUCUUAUAC
rnacentral:rRNA from 1 species